CCUACGGGAGGCAGCAGUGAGGAAUAUUGGUCAAUGGCCGGAAGGCUGAACCAGCCAUGCCGCGUGAAGGUCAGUGCCCUAUGGGCGUUAAACUUCUUUUGUGCGGGAGCAAUCAUGGUCACGUUUGGCCAGACGAGAGUACCGUACGAAUAAGCAUCGGCUAACACCGUGCCAGCAGCGGCGGUGAUACGGGGAAUGCAAGCGUGAUCUGGAGUUAUUUGGGUUAAAGGGUGCGUAGGCUGGGAGGUAAGUCAGCGGUGAAAUGCCCCCGCUCAACGGGGUGAAGUGCCAUUGAUACUGCCUUGCUGGAAUGCGGAUGCCGUGGGAGGAAUGUGUGGUGUAGCGGUGAAAUGCAUAGAUAUCACACAGAACCCCGAUUGCGAAGGCAUCUCACGAAUCCGCGAUUGACGCUGAUGCACGAAAGCGUGGGUAUCAAACAGGAUUAGAUACCCUUGUAGUC
rnacentral:rRNA from 1 species